GGGCAUAAUUUAAUUUAAUAGCAUUAUAAUAAUGUUAUUUUCUUUGUUGUGAUAAAUGUAUGAUAUUAACAGUGGGGAAGCUGGAGAAAGAAUAUAAGGAACUCUGUACCAUCUUGUAACUCUUCUGUAAAUCUAAAUCUAAAAUUAUUUCAAAAUAAAAGGUUAAUGGCUAUUGGAGGGACAGCGGUGAUCACAUGCCCAGUGCUGGGAAGAAGUGGAUUCCCAUUCCAGGCCAUUAUCAGAAAAGCUAAGUGUGCUGCAUAGUAAGGAUCAGAAGAUCCGAUCCUGAUUACAGAAUCUUGGGUUGUCUCCCACCUCAUCCUUUCAAACAAUCCCAGAAGAUCUAUAAGAUUCACUGGGAAAACACUAGGAGUUCUUGGAAGAGCAAGAAGAAAGAGGAUUAUUGGUUGAAAUAAAAACAGGGUUGAAUGAGUUCCAGAAAGCAGGGUUCGCAAACUCGUGGACAACAAUCUGCAGAAGAAGACAACUUCAAAAAACCAACUAGAAGCAAUAUGCAGAGAAGUAAGAUGACAGCUGGUCCACAGCAGAAUCUGGAACCAGCCCUCCCAGGCAGAUGGCGGGGGAGGGGGUUGCUCUGUAGAGAACCCCCCUUCUGGAUUGGUGGGGAAGACAAGAAAGAACAAGCAGAAGACUCCUGGAAACAGGGAUGGUGGCAGUACCAGCAAAGCCCCUCAGCCAUCUCGGAAGAAAAGGGCCCGGGCUGACCCCACUGUUGAAAGUGAGGAUGCAUUUAAGAAUAGAAUGGAUUGGAAGAUUCCUGAAGAAUUAAAACCAUGGCUUUUUGAGGAUUGGGACUUAGUUACCAGGCAGAAGGAGCUAUUUCAAUUCCCUGCUAAGAAAAAUGUAGAUGCCAUUCUAGAAGAGUAUGCAAGCUGCAAGAAAUCACAGAGAAAUGUCAGCAAUAAGGAAUACGCAGUGAAUGAAGUUGUUGCAGAAAUUAAAGAAUACUUCAACGUGAUGUUAGGCACUCAGCUGCUCUACAAAUUUAAGAGCCGAAAUCCUCUUGGCUCACCCUGAUGCGCCCGUGUCCCAAGUUUAUGGAGCACCACAGUGAGAUUAUUUGUAAGAAUUGGAGCAAUUCUGGCAUAUAUGCCCCUUGAUGAGAAGAGCCUUACAUUAUUGUUGGACUAUUUGUGUGAUUUCCUAAAAUAUCUGGCAAAGAAUGCUGCAUCUCUGUUAACUGUCAGUGAUUACAAAGUAGCUUUGGCUGAGUACCACCGCAAAGCCCUGUGAGGGUCUACUGAGCACUCGUUAUUAUGUCUGGUAUCCAUAAACACUCAUUUUGUCCUUAGUCUUUUUCUUGUAUAAUUGAUGUCCUUUAAAAUUGUUAAUGUAUAACAGGGCUUAUAUUUCAGUUUUUCUGUUUUGUUUUAAACAGAAAAUAAAAGGAGUACAAGCUCCUUUUAUUUCAAAGUUGCUACCAGUGUAUGCAGUAAUUAGACAAAAAAAGAAACAUUCAGUAGAACAUUUUCUUGUAUAGUUGACAACAUUGCUUGAAUGCUGGUGGUUCUAUCCCUUUGACACUACACAAUUUUCUAAUUAUGUGUUAAUGCUGCGUGAUAAAAAUGCCCUGAUUCCUAGUGCCAAAGGUUCUACGCAAUGUAUAUACCUGAAAACCCAUGCAUCUGUGCUCUUUUUUAAAUGGUGCUUGAAGUAAAACAGCCCAUCCUCUGCAAGUCCAUCCAUGUUGUUCCUUAGGCAUUCUAUCUUUGCUCAGAUUGCUGAAGGAUGGUGGUUUGUCUCAUGGUUUUUGUAUUUGAGUCUAAUGCACGUUCUAACAUGAUAGAGGCAAUGCUUUAUUGUGUAGCCGCGGUUUUCUGGAGAAGUUGAUAUUUAAGGAACUGUAUUUCAGAUCUUAAAUAAAAUUUGUUUCUAAAUUUCAAAGCAAAAAAA